UUUGAUCCUGGCUCAGGACGAACGCUGGCGGCGUGCUUAACACAUGCAAGUCGAGCGAGGCCCAUCUUCGGGUGGUGCCCUAGCGGCGAACGGGUGAGUAACACGUGGGCAACCUGCCCUCAGCUCUGGGAUAACUCCAAGAAAUUGGUGCUAAUACCGGAUGUGACCGCUGACCGCAUGGUCUGGUGGUGGAAAGAUUCAUCGGCUGAGGAUGGGCCCGCGGCCUAUCAGCUUGUUGGUGGGGUCACGGCCCACCAAGGCGACGACGGGUAGCCGGCCUGAGAGGGUGACCGGCCACACUGGGACUGAGACACGGCCCAGACUCCUACGGGAGGCAGCAGUGGGGAAUAUUGCGCAAUGGGCGAAAGCCUGACGCAGCGACGCCGCGUGAGGGAUGACGGCCUUCGGGUUGUAAACCUCUUUCAGUAGGGACGAAGCGCAAGUGACGGUACCUACAGAAGAAGCACCGGCGAACUAC
rnacentral:rRNA from 1 species